rnacentral:rRNA from 1 species
CUCAGGAUGAACGCUAGCUACAGGCUUAACACAUGCAAGUCGAGGGGCAGCAUGGUCUUAGCUUGCUAAGGCCGAUGGCGACCGGCGCACGGGUGAGUAACACGUAUCCAACCUGCCGUCUACUCUUGGACAGCCUUCUGAAAGGAAGAUUAAUACAAGAUGGCAUCAUGAGUCCACAUGUUCACAUGAUUAAAGGUAUUCCGGUAGACGAUGGGGAUGCGUUCCAUUAGAUAGUAGGCGGGGUAACGGCCCACCUAGUCUUCGAUGGAUAGGGGUUCUGAGAGGAAGGUCCCCCACAUUGGAACUGAGACACGGUCCAAACUCCUACGGGAGGCAGCAGUGAGGAAUAUUGGUCAAUGGGCGAGAGCCUGAACCAGCCAAGUAGCGUGAAGGAUGACUGCCCUAUGGGUUGUAAACUUCUUUUAUAAAGGAAUAAAGUCGGGUAUGCAUACCCGUUUGCAUGUACUUUAUGAAUAAGGAUCGGCUAACUCCGUGCCAGCAGCCGCGGUAAUACGGAGGAUCCGAGCGUUAUCCGGAUUUAUUGGGUUUAAAGGGAGCGUAGAUGGAUGUUUAAGUCAGUUGUGAAAGUUUGCGGCUCAACCGUAAAAUUGCAGUUGAUACUGGAUAUCUUGAGUGCAGUUGAGGCAGGCGGAAUUCGUGGUGUAGCGGUGAAAUGCUUAGAUAUCACGAAGAACUCCGAUUGCGAAGGCAGCCUGCUAAGCUGCAACUGACAUUGAGGCUCGAAAGUGUGGGUAUCAAACAGGAUUAGAUACCCUGGUAGUCCACACGGUAAACGAUGAAUACUCGCUGUUUGCGAUAUACAGCAAGCGGCCAAGCGAAAGCGUUAAGUAUUCCACCUGGGGAGUACGCCGGCAACGGUGAAACUCAAAGGAAUUGACGGGGGCCCGCACAAGCGGAGGAACAUGUGGUUUAAUUCGAUGAUACGCGAGGAACCUUACCCGGGCUUAAAUUGCAGAUGAAUUACGGUGAAAGCCGUAAGCCGCAAGGCAUCUGUGAAGGUGCUGCAUGGUUGUCGUCAGCUCGUGCCGUGAGGUGUCGGCUUAAGUGCCAUAACGAGCGCAACCCUUGUUGUCAGUUACUAACAGGUCAUGCUGAGGACUCUGACAAGACUGCCAUCGUAAGAUGUGAGGAAGGUGGGGAUGACGUCAAAUCAGCACGGCCCUUACGUCCGGGGCUACACACGUGUUACAAUGGGGGGUACAGAGGGCCGCUACCACGCGAGUGGAUGCCAAUCCCAAAAACCUCUCUCAGUUCGGACUGGAGUCUGCAACCCGACUCCACGAAGCUGGAUUCGCUAGUAAUCGCGCAUCAGCCACGGCGCGGUGAAUACGUUCCCGGGCCUUGUACACACCGCCCGUCAAGCCAUGGGAGCCGGGGGUACCUGAAGUGCGUAACCGCGAGGAGCGCCCUAGGGUA